AAACCAUAUGAGCUUCUGACGCUUGAAUGUAUGGUUCAUUAUCUUCAUGUUCUUCGGUAUGUAGUAGUCUUGCAAAGUUUAUAGAGGUAAAAUCCAACUUAUCUAUCUUAAUGCCUCUUAUAUUUGUGGUAUUAGGCCAUUCACAUUUAAACAUGGGCACUGUGAAGUCAUAAUGGGAAAGCACAAUAAUGUCUAUCAAUCUUAUAGAGUAAGGA
rnacentral:lncRNA from 1 species